rnacentral:rRNA from 1 species
AUUGAACGCUGGCGGCAUGCCUAACACAUGCAAGUCGAACGGUAACGCGGGGGCAAUCCUGGCGACGAGUGGCGGACGGGUGAGUAAUACGUAGGAAUCUGCCCAUUUGUGGGGGAUAACCCGGCGAAAGCCGGGCUAAUACCGCAUACGCUCUACGGAGGAAAGCAGGGGAUCGUAAGACCUUGCGCUAAUGGAUGAGCCUACGUCGGAUUAGCUAGUUGGGAGGGUACCGGCCUACCAAGGCGACGUUCCGUAGCUGGUCUUGGAGGACGAUCGGCCACACUGGGACUGAGACACGGCCCAGCAUCCUACGGGGGGCAGCAUUGUGGAAGAUAGGACAAUGAGGGCAACCAUGAUGCAGCAAUGCCGGGUGUGCGAAGAAGGCCUGCGCGUUGUAAAGCACUUUCAGAGGGGAAGAAAAAAUCGGAGCUAACACCUCCGAGCUUGACGUUACCCUUAGAAGAAGCACCGGCUAACUCCGUGCCAGCCGCCGCGGUAA